rnacentral:rRNA from 1 species
GUGAGGAAUAUUGGACAAUGGGCGCAAGCCUGAUCCAGCCAUGCCGCGUGCAGGAAGACGCAUCUAUGGUGUGUAAACUGCUUUUGUACGGGAAGAAACACUCCCUCGUGAGGGAGCUUGACGGUACCGUAAGAAUGAGGAUCGGCUAACUCCGUGCCAGCAGCCGCGGUAAUACGGAGGAUCCAAGCGUUAUCCGGAAUCAUUGGGUUUAAAGGGUCCGUAGGCGGUUUAAUAAGUCAGUGGUGAAAGCCCAUCGCUCAACGAUGGAACGGCCAUUGAUACUGUUAGACUUGAAUUACAAGGAAGUAACUAGAAUAUGUAGUGUAGCGGUGAAAUGCUUAGAUAUUACAUGGAAUACCAAUUGCGAAGGCAGGUUACUACUUGUGGAUUGACGCUGAUGGACGAAAGCGUGGGGAGCGAACAGGAUUAGAAACCCCGGUAGUCC